CUGGAAAUUAAGCUAAAGUUGUUCAGGUGACUAUAGUGUCCAUUUAAACCAUGGAAGAAAAGAUUGAAAAUCACAUAUAACUUAUAAAAACACCGUACAAAUACAUAUUUGUUAAAUAUGGAAGUAAACAUAAUAUUAAAAUUCCUGAGAAGUGACAGUUCAAUUUAACUACAGAUUCUGCAUUGCCAGUUCUUACUAAUUGGAGAAAUUGGAGUUUAUUUGGUCCAUGAUCACUCC